GAUGAACGCUAGCGGCAGGCUUAACACAUGCAAGUCGAGGGGUAUUGGUUUUCGGACCAAGAGACCGGCGCACGGGUGCGUAACGCGUAUGCAAUCUACCUUUUGCAGAGGGAUAGCCCCAGAGAAAUUUGGAUUAAUACCUCAUAGUAUAGUACUUUGGCAUCAAGGAACUAUUAAAGUCACAACGGCAAAGAUGAGCAUGCGUCCCAUUAGCUAGUUGGUAAGGUAACGGCUUACCAAGGCUACGAUGGGUAGGGGUCCUGAGAGGGAGAUCCCCCACACUGGUACUGAGACACGGACCAGACUCCUACGGAGGCAGCAGUGAGGAAUAUUGGACAAUGGGCGCAAGCCUGAUCCAGCCAUGCCGCGUGCAGGAUGACGGUCCUAUGGAUUGUAAACUGCUUUUANACAGGAAGAAACACUCCGACGUGUCGAGCUUGACGGUACUGUAAGAAUAAGGAUCGGCU
rnacentral:rRNA from 1 species